UACGUAGGGUGCAAGCGUUUGUUCGGAAUCAUUGGGCGUAAAGCGCGUGUAGGCUGUUAGUUAAGUCAGAUGUGAAAGCCCUCGGCUCAACCGGGGAAGUGCAUUUGAAACUAGCUGGCUCGAAGACGGUAGAGGAAGGUGGAAUUCCUAGUGUAGAGGUAAAAUUCGUAGAUAUUUAGGAGGAAUACCUGUGGCGAAAGGCG
rnacentral:rRNA from 1 species